rnacentral:lncRNA from 1 species
GAGUGGUCAGCUGGGGCUGCACCCAGCACCCUGGCCCUCUCUGUGAUGGAGGAAGAGCCCUGGCUUCCCAGGGGGGCUGCAACCCGACCGAAAGUAAGUUCUGGGCAGCCACGAGCAGCGGCCGAGCCUUUACUCAGCAGGUUUCUGGCUGCGAGUCCAGGCUCUUCACCACUACCAGGACAAACGACACUGGGAAGACAGUGCAGAGUGAAAGGGCUCUUGACCUGUGCCCUCUCAUCGCAGUUCCCUGGAAACAGCCUCGCGUGCUCGGCCCACAUCUAAUCCACCCUCUCUAGGGCCUGCUAUGGGAACAUCCCCUUUGCAGAGUUUCAGAAACUGCUUACUGAAUGAGUAAUCUGUAAGAUAUGAGGUGAUGAUGGCUUUGUAGACCUAUCACCUAAAUAACACAUUUCCCCUUUAUAAAGAACUUUCUGGAAACAAAAUGUAUAAAUAAAUAAAAUAAAUCUUAAAAAAAAAAAGUUCAGUGCUUCCAUUUGUACCCUGGCUCACCAAACCCUGUAGAAAGUUCUUUUCCUCCCCUCUUCCCACUGCCCCCCUCACUUAAAAAAUUUAUGCUCUAUAGGUCUUGUACAUUUUUUCCCUAAGCAGUCAUCCCCAACCCCCAGUCCUGAG